AUGUAUAUGCCUACAACGUUAAUGCAACGCAUCCCAUUAGAAAUUUGUAGUUAUGCAUGCUUGGGAUAGAGUAGUAUUGGGAUGGGUGAACUCCUGAGAAGUCCUAGAGUUUUACAUG
rfam:Picea glauca, whole genome shotgun sequence.